CUUCUGUAUAUUUUGUCACAGCCCUAUUCUUUUGAAAUAUCUUACAGGUGAUUUUCAUUGUACUGUUGUCAUGGAUUGGAAGUGGGUUUGGUGGAGCCUUGCAGCGUUCUGACCAAAAUGUCAGUCCAUAAGAACAUCCUGUCUCACUUUCAUGUCCAAAGCUACUGAGAUGCUUUGCCAACUCUGAGCACAGCAUUAAAAUAAAAGAGAGACUUGAUCCACUUGACAUUCACAGAUAAGUAUUCUAUUCCCUUCUUUAUUUUCCCAUUAGAAGUAUUCAACAGAAGCUGUAGAUGCUCACUAUCAUUCAGGUUGUUGCUUGAGGGUGGAACAAUGAAGAUUCUUUUGAAAAAUGGCUAAAAUUCGGGGCCAUUUGGCACCUGUGUGAUCUUCCCUGCUCACAGCCACGAGGAUCAGUGAACAGAGGCUGAAAUCUCUGCUGCCAACUUUCAGCCCAGGAAAGGUGUUAGAGAUUGAAUUACACUGUGAUCCUUGGGAAAAGAGGGCAUAUCUUUGUCAUUUUGUGUUACUGACAUUUCUAGGGAUUUUGACAGAAGGAAGAUAGCAGGAACGUACAACUCCUGUCAGUGAGCAUCUCAAAAUAUUUCUGAGUAAAUGAUGGCAGAUGCUUCAAGCCAGAGAUGCUGUUAGACACUGAGAAAUACAAUUUUCUUUUACUCUCAGUUGAAGUUCUGAUUAUUCUAUUUUCCCAAGCAAAAGGUCAAUAUGACAUGCACGUCAUAUAAUCAUACAGCAACUCUUGUAUUUCAUUCUUGCCAUUGUUUUUUGUGUGUAAAUAGAGAUAAAACAGCUAAAUGCAUUGAAAAAAAAAUAGUUGAUCACUAGGCAGGAGACAGGCAGUCCUAAAAAAAAGUUUCCCUGGUUUAAGUAGUAUUUCUUACUUAAAAACAAAUUUUAUUUGGCUUGUGUGCAGAGCUCUGUCUUCAUAAACCUUUAAUCUCAGAGCUGUCAAACCUCCUUUAACCCAGAAUUUUACAGUAAAUAGAAAAAAAAAAACGACAAAGGUGAUCUUCUGUAGCAAAGUGAGCUUAGGGCAUGUUGUUCAAGGUGAAAAUCUUGUAGUGUUGUUUCAGCAGCAUUAAUGGAAAUUGAUUCAAAGGAGACUUUUCAGGAUCAUUCCUGAAUCUCUAAAGCCAAAGCCUUGAGAAAAUGAUAAAGUACCGUGAAUUUCUGAUCUUCCAUGGGAGACUUGUAUGGCCUCUGCAGUGGGUGAGAUGAGAAGGCAGAAGACAUGGAGCUGUGCUGGAGACAUGGCAGCAUGCAGGUCAUUACACAGGCCAAGCAAAUUCAGUAUUUCUAAUGAUGCUUGGUUGAGCUACCUUGGUACUAAUAAAACAGCCAUGCUUCUUGUGUUUCUGUGAGAGCGCUGGACAAGGAGAAGAUUGGAGGAGUCCUGCUCUGAGUCCCAAUGAAUAGGAAAGGUGCCAUCCUCAUCUGUCCAGCUGCCAACCAAGGCUUCCUGCACCUGUGGGCCGUGAGCAGGCUUGCUCAGGUGGGAUGUCCACGUGGGCAGGGGCAGGGAGGUGGGAGAGGGGAAGAAUGGCUUCCCAACUAGCACAGCCUAUGCCUAGUGCUGUAAUAAUGGAGUUUGUGGUUCCUAGGGAGAUCAGACUCACUUUGAAUGCAAGGGAAGGAUCCUGCUACACAUUUUAACACAGGAGGACUUGAGCCUAAGCUAUUUUUAAUUUUUGAAGAAGGAUUUUGACAAGUGAGUGACAGAUUUCAAGUUUUCUACUCAGGAAUAAAUAGAGGCAACUGUUUCUUAGCAUAACAUAUUUCCAAUUAAUAAAACGUGUGGGACUUGUGGCACUCAUAAAGCUGGUUAGCAGAGGGGAGCCCCUAAUUUCCAUGCAGAAGGGACACGUGAGCCCCGGCUUGGGGCGCUCGGUGUCUGCCGAUGGGAUUCUCAGGGCUCUGUGAGCUGAGCCUUGCCAGCCAGUUCACAGACACAUGGAUGGGCUGGGUUUGCUUGGAAGUUCAAGCUCAAUGAACUGAGACUCCAGAGAACAAUUCCCCGGCUGCCGCCACCUCCCUGCAUGGCCCUCUGAAGCCCUCCGUCCUCAGAACCCACCGGCCUCCCUCUCUUAAUACGUUCACAAAUUUUCCCAACAAAAGAGCAAUUACAACCUUACAGAGACUGUUCACAAAGAGAGUAGGGAUGACCCCAGUGAGGGGUUUGCACUACUCAACACAUGGCCAGUCACCAACAAAGCCAGCCCCGCUCCCAUUUGAUCCCAGAAGAGCCUCUCAGACUGGCACGCUUGACCAAAAGCUGGCCGGGUGAUUCAUUCGUCUGGCGGCUCGGUGAUUCAUGGGCCUCCAGGAAGAAGGGAGGAGGGAGGCAAAGGCUUUUCAGAGCUGAAGUUAAAUGCAAGAGAAACACAUUCCCCAAAACCUGACUGUGUCCAAUUGGUGUGUGAAUACCCAGACAAAGCCGGGGCAGGAGCCCUGGUGGGCCACGAUGUGUGGCUGUGAGGGUGAGCCAUGCUGCAGGUGGCACCUUCCCAAAUCCAUGCUGUGGACCAUGUGGAGUGCAUAAAGAAGUAGUGCUUUACAUCCUAACUGUGUGUGCUCCAUGGCUUCCCCCGAUUUCCCGGUUGGGCAUGCUCUGGUUUGUAUACUAAGGGCUUUGACCCAAUAUCAGGGUCAAAACUUCAACUGACUUUGAACUUAAAAUCUAAGCUUCCAAGCUGUACUAACAGUUUUGCCUUCUUCUCAUAUCUUAUGAAGCAAGCAUACUGCAGGCCUCAUCCCCAGAGAGGUGCCUGCCCAUGGCAUAUAGGAACACUGCAGGUGCCUCUCUGCUGAUGUGCUUUGCAAUACUGUGUCCCGUUAUGGGCUCCUCAUUCAAAAAAGACAGAGAUCUUCUAGAGAGAGCCCAGCGGAGGGCUUCCGAGAGGGUUGGGACCCGGAGCAUCUCCCGUAUGAGGAAAGGCUGAGAGCCCUGGAGCUGUUCAGUCUGGAGAAGAGAAGGUUGAGAGGAGAUGUCAUCCCUGUUCAUAAAUAUCUGAUGGUUGGGAGUCAAAUGGAUGGGGCCGGGCUCUUUUUGGUGGUGCCCAGCAACUGGACUGGGACAGUGGGCACAAAGAGCAACACCGCAUGUUCCAUAAAAUAUGAGGAAGAACUUUCCUGUGUGGGUAACAGAGUGCUGGAACAGGCUGCCCAGGGAGCUGGUGGGGUAUCCUUCUCUGGAGAAAUCACAGACCCCUCUGGAUGCUUUCCUGUGCGAUCCGCUGUGGGGAUCCCUUCCAACCCUACAGUUCUGUGAUUCUGUGACCCCACCAUCCGGCUGCCCUGCUCUGCUCCCUCAGCAGCGACCAGGAGAGGCUGCAGGAUUUUCAGGCCUCAGCUCAGCCUGCUGAAACUGUCCCAUACCCCUGCGAGUCGCCUGCUGCAGGGGAUUGUGUUACAUAUUGCUUCAGACUUGCGGGUCAAAAUGCUAAAUUAUUUAGCAGCCAUUGCCAGAUGGAUUUUAAAACAAUUAACAAGUGCUAAAAAUAGGCAGCUCUCUCUGUCUCAUGGAUUUUGCCAAAAAGCAUCUGUUUGCUGUUCUCUUGCCAGAAAUUUAUGCUGAGGGUGCAGCAGAGGCCUCGUGCUCCCUGCAGUCAUCGGGGCUUCAGCUGUGCCUGGGCCUCUGGAUGGCUGCAGUGCAUCAGGGUACAAGUGCCACUGGCAGGCGGUUGUUGGUGCACAGGAAGGAGUUCCAACUGCUGAGUGUUAUUUUUCUUACCAGUUGUAUUACCAUUGUAGCUGUGGCAUGCUUCACGCUGCUUUAUCAUCUGCCUUUGCUGGAUAGGUUGUACUCUCCCAUGUCCAUGUCGGGAUGGUGAAGGCAGGAGCAAUUAAGGCUCUGGCAUCAAAGGGACUUGGGGGCUUAAAUCCCUCUGAAGGACUCAGGUCCUAUCCCUUUCCUUACUGCAGCAGGUGGAGAGAAAUCAAGUGGGACAUGGAAACUGGCUGUUUGCUUCAGCACACCAUUUUGGAGAAGAGAAGGCUCUGGGGAGACCUCAUUAUGGCCUUUCAGUAUUUGAAGGGAGCAUAUAAAGAGU